CUGGGACUCGCCGUAAAGCAGACGUCUCCUGGCGUGUGGCUGGGGGCGGGAGGGGAUCGCUCCUGUGUGGCUUCCGUGCUGGCGUCUGCGUUGUGGGGACCCCUCUUCCGAAGGCGGGUUCUCUGCAGGUUGCGUUUGCAUCCCUGGAGGGCUGCAGACCCAGGAGUUGGCCCCGCGGCUCGGCAGCUCACGGUGCUUCGGGACACGUGUGCGGGAUGCGCUUCCCUGGUGAUGCGGGGCAGGAGGAGGUUCAUUUUUGUCUGUCAUCGGGAAAGCCAAACACCGAGACAACGAGAUUGCAGCAGAGAGUUUAAUCACAAGGCAGCCACGUGAGGAAACAGGAGAAGGAGUCUCAAAUCUGCCUCCCUGAAAACAGGGUCUCAAGGAUAGUCAUGGGGUGACGGGCAAGGUGGUCUGAAAUGUGGAGAUAGACGGUUGCAGGUGAGGACAGGCUCCGAACACAGAUGGUAGAGCAGAAUUUCAGUUCAGUGUGCAGCCGCUGGGCUGAUCCUCUUUGUGACCUCCGGCCUUGAAAACACAUCCAUUAUGCGGGAUGUCUGGUCGCUGAAGUGCCACGGCAUCUUGGCUGUAGUCACAGCCUCUCCCAAACCACACACGCUCUGCUCCUACAGGCUCAUAUACCUCUGUGUCUGUCUGUAUAGACAAUAUGUUUGUAGUUUAUGUUUUUACCGGUGUAUCAUUUGGUCUUUAUCCAGAAUAUUUGAAGAGUUAAGUUGUUCUCGGUAAAUGAAUUUUCUAGGUAACUGAACAACUCUUCUUUCAGGAGUAACUGUUUUAAAAAAAUUAAAAUUUGGUGGAAUUUUUCUAAUGCAUUUCAAAUACUGCUCUGCCUUGUUAAAGUAAACUGAACAUAAUUUAAUAUUUUCUUAAAGACUCAAUGUUGUCAUAAAAAUUCAUCACUUGAUUCUGUGGCAAUAUAAUUAUUUGGUAUUAGAAAAAUGGUAUUUCUUUGAUCAUAAGUACAACGUGCUAAUUAUGGAAAAUAUGAACAGUAUAAAAAAAGGAAAUAAAAAUUACUUAUAAUCUGGGGCUGGCCCAGGGGCGCAGCGGUUAAGUUCGCACGUUCUGCUUUGGCGGCCUGGGGCUCACUGGUUGGGAAGUACAAGCAACCACUAAGUCCGGAUCUUCCACCUGGCACUUCAGUCCCCUUAGAUAGUGACUCGGGCCCAGGUGAGAGCAAACGACCUCAUGACUUAGGAAAGCAUAGGAGUCUCACCCAGACCCAUGGACUGUGGGUUCUCCCCUGCUCAGCUUCCGUGAGUAACGGCUGCUAGUGCCCCACAGCCAAACCCUUCUCCUGAGAAUCACUCUCCGUCCUUGGGAGGAUGGGCAGGGAGGAGGGUAAGCGGCCUUGCUUGGAAAAGUCUGGAAGUUUAUAUCCUUUCCUCAGAAGCAGCCCACAGCCAUUGACUGACUAACAGAGGGUACAGAAGCCCAACCCUAUUGCCUCGGGUUGGGAAGAGUUUGUGUUAUUCCUACUCUAGCAGUGCUGUCCAAUGGAAACAUAAUAUGAGCUGUUUGUGUAGUUUUUAAUUUUCUGGUAGCUACAUAAAAAACCAAACAGGUGAGAUGUAUUGAAUAAUAUAUUUUGUUUACCCACAAAUAUCCAAAAUGUUAUCAUUGCAAUAGGUAACGUUUGUAAAAUUAUUAAUGAGCUAGUUGACAUGGUUUCGUUCAUUCAAGAUCUUGAUUUCUCGUCUUACUCCUGUAGAACAUUGCAGUUUGACGAGCUGCAUUUCAAGUGCUCACUAGCCCCAUGUGGCCAGUGGUGACCAGGUUGGACAGUGCAGCCCUAGGGUGCUCUGUAGAAUCUGGCUGAGGCUGGACUUCAACCGAAACCACAUCUUUGCUCAGCUCCUUCCCCUGCCCCAUCCCGCAUCCUUGCCUUCUCACCAGUGUCUCCGGAGAGCACUCCCUCUGUAACACGCUGGCACGAGGAUCCCCAUCUCAGACUCUGCUUCUAGGAAACCCAGUAUAAGAUGAGAAUGUUUAAAAUCAAAGGCAACAACGAUCAGGCAAAUGAAAAUCCUUGAUACUGUUUAUUUUCUGCUAAGUUAUACAAUUUGUGCCAGUUACUUAGAGGGUCUGUAAUUUUUUAAAAUUUUAUUUAUUUAUUUUGUGAGGAAGAUUGGCCCUGAGCUAACAUCUGUUGCCAAUCUUCCUCUUUUUGUUUGAGGAAGAUUGUUACUGA